UACGUAGGGUGCAAGCGUUAUCCGGAAUUAUUGGGCGUAAAGAGCUCGUAGGCGGUUUGUCGCGUCUGCUGUGAAAACUGGAGGCUCAACCUCCAGCCUGCAGUGGGUACGGGCAGACUAGAGUGCGGUAGGGGAGAUUGGAAUUCCUGGUGUAGCGGUGGAAUGCGCAGAUAUCUGGAGGAACAUCAGUGGCGAAGGCGACACCCUGGACUCAUACUGACACUGAGGUACGAAAGCGUGGGGAGCAAACAGG
rnacentral:rRNA from 1 species